UAGUCCACGCCGUAAACGAUGAGAACUAGCCGUUGGGGGUUUAAUAUCCUUGGUGGUGUAGCUAACGCGCUAAGUUCUCCGCCUGGGGAGUACGGCCGCAAGGUUAAAACUCAAAUGAAUUGACGGGGGCCCGCACAAGCGGUGGAGCAUGUGGUUUAAUUCGAUGCAACGCGAAGAACCUUACCAUCCCUUGACAUCCUUCUAAGUCUGCAGAGAUGCGGAUGUGCCUUCGGGAAAGAAGUGACAGGUGCUGCAUGGCUGUCGUCAGCUCGUGUUGUGAAAUGUUGGGUUAAGUCCCGUAACGAGCGCAACCCUUGUCCUUAGUUGCCAUCAGUUCGGCUGGGCACUUUAAGGAGACUGCUGGUGAUAAACCGGAGGAAGGUGGGGACGACGUCAAGUCAUCAUGGCCCUCACGGGGAUGGGGCUACACACGUGCUACAAUGGGGUCGUACAGAGGGGCAGCGAAGCGGCGACGUGGGAGCGAAUCCCAG
rnacentral:rRNA from 1 species